CCCAAGUAGGCUGGUAAGAGGGAGUUUCAGUGUUCGCUACCAUCUUUCAGAGGCCUCUGAGCAGAUCUUCAGCUGAUUCUUCCUCAUCACCAGCAACAGAAGAGCCCUGGAAUUCUGGCCAAGCUGGUGGAUGACGGGAGCUGAGCAAGGCAGUACCCCAGCCAUCAUGAGCCUGGGAGAACCAGAGGGGAAGAGAAAGGGCUAAGUCUGAGAGGAAGCAAGAACCCUGGAUUCUUGGAGAUACCUGGUCGAGGCAAAUUAUGAGUUCACUGUCAUCUCCAAGCCAAAGGGAGCCAACCUUGGAAGCUCCCUGCUCUGACCUUUUGCUGGCUGAAGUCCGAAUGCUAAGACUGACCUCAGGAUGAGGCAGCAGUCUGUAUGCUGAUCUCUGCUCCAGUGUCAAUGCACAGGCCUCUCCAGGAAUGAGAGUCUACAUUUACAACUUGGUGAGGUGGGACCUAGAACACAUGGCUUCUAAGGUCACCUCCAGUUUCAGGCAGGUGGUGUGACUUGGGAAGUCCCUGGGAGUUUUGACCAAUUUACUCCUGGGAGAGUGAAUUAG
rnacentral:lncRNA from 1 species